rfam:Spinacia oleracea cultivar SynViroflay scaffold18163.con0005.1, whole genome shotgun sequence.
AAUCUGAUGUUGGGGACAGGAUGAACAUAAUCUCUUAAAACGUUCCCAAUACUCAUACAAGGACUCAUUAUCAUGUUGCCUAAUGCCACAUAUCUCCUUCCUGAUGGAU